GGUGGCAGUAGGUAAAGCAAUGAAAUAUAAAAUUUAUUGCCUUUCCUUCCAUUCACUUUUGAGGAUAUACUUAUAACAUAUAAUAUUUAUACUUCUUUGGGUGAUAAUCGACUUACCAAAAAAAUGCGAACAAUGUGAUUAUGAUGUAGAGGACUCUUCACAUAUUCGAACAUGUCCAAAGUCUAACCAGAUAUGGAAUUGCUUAUUUUCACAAAAAAAUUCAGGUUCAUCCUUCACAUUUUAUACUUCACAACGUUUUACAUCUCUUUGGUUAAUGACUAAUUCUUUUGAAUGUGAUCCAAGUAUGAUUCUUCAUCUACGACCUUCUGGAGCUCUUAUGAGCAAUUAAGGUAUGUUAAGGUUAAUCCUUCUUUCUUUUGGCAUGAUUCAAGUGACGAGACGUAAACGUAAUGCUAUUCGAUAAGUGGUUCUACUCUUAGCAGUUAAGAAUAUCUACGUUAUUCAGUUCCAUUAUUUACGUGAAUCUCUUCUUAGUCCUUGUGAGUGGAUAGUCUACUCAACCAACUUUUUGAGACUGAAUUAUACUUCAAUAGCUGAAUAAGUAUUGCAUUGCAAGUAAGGGUGUCAUUACUUUAUUAGGCAAUAUUAAAAGAUAAUAACUGUCUACAUGUAAAUGUAAUGUUUCUACCAAAGAAUGCUGCCAAAGAUAAAAGCUUGUUCUUUAUCCUUGCAUUUUACUUUUUAUGACUGAAUCUUUUAGAGCCAGUGAGAUUGUUGGAAAAAAGUAAGUAAAAGUAACUCUGCUUCAAGUCGUGUUUCCAGAAAAAUAGUCCAUUAAUAUAACAUGAAAGUACUUAAAAGAGGAUAUACACAAAGGAAAAGGCAGAGGUUUUAGUUGACCGUUAUGAACUCUUUUGUUAUGUAUUAUUAUUUACGGCCGGUUGGGCAGUUAAAUAUUUACCACCGUGCUACGGCCGGUUGGGCAGUCAUGCAUCUUCAUUUACCACCGAGCUAUGCCCGGUCAGGCAGUCAUGCAUUUACCACCAAGCUAUGGUCAGUUUGGCAGUUACCACCGGUUGGGCAGUUAUGCAUUUACCACCGAGCUACGGCCGGUCGAGCAGUUACCACUGAUCAGUUGGGCAGUCAUGAAUCAUAGGAUAUGGAUAAUUGAAAUAGUCUCAAAGAGAAGCAUUAUAUUUGUAAGUACAAUAAGUAUGCAUAUACGGUGGCACUUCAGAGAUUCAGGUUGACUCUUAUAUGUCUUUAAUUAAUGUUGACUUACUGUUAUAUUUCAGUUAGGCCUUACAUACUGAGUACAUUAUUUGUACUGACGUCCUUUUGUUGGGAACGCUGCAUUCAUGCCUGUAGGUAUAGAUAAUCAGUUUGACGAGCCCUCAUAGUAGACGAGGUUGGCUUCAACGAAGGAUCGGUAAGACUCCACCUCAUUCAGAGUACAGCCAAGUUUAUGAGUCAUCGUGUCAGAAUUUUGCUACAGACUUAUGGGUAGGCUGGUACCCUGUCCCAUUUAAUGUCAAAUAAUCUUAGAGGCUUUGUAAACAAAGGUUCAUUUUGUACAGUAUGUCAGAGGCCUUAACGGUCCAUAUGUAUUCAUGUUUUAAGAAAAAUGAUUCAGUGAUA
rnacentral:lncRNA from 1 species